UUGCCCCCUUCUCUCUUUUCUUUUUUCUUUUUCUUUUUAUUUCUUUCUCUUUUUAUUUUUAUUUUUUGUGGUCUCUUUGGCUCUUUCUAUUUUUCCUCUUUGGGAUCUUUUCAUGUGUCCUCUUUUGGGAUCUUUUAAUUUGUCCUCUUUGGGAUCUUUUCCUCACUUAAGGGCAACACUCUAUGUUUUACAAGAAUAAAAAUAAGAUCUUCACACUUUAUAAGAAGUACUCAACGUAAAGACAAAUGAAAACUAUCAUGAUGUAUGCAAAUGUAUGCCUCUGCGAGUGUAGCAGGAUAUGCAAUGAUACUAG
rnacentral:lncRNA from 1 species